CGUUAUACAACAUAUAUGUGUUUGUAUUAAACAUUUAAUAUGUAAAAAUAGAUGAUUAUCUAAAAAUCAGAUUAAACGUUCCAUACGAAUAAUAGGAAUUUCAAAAAAAAUUAUAUCGAACGGAAAGUACAUGACGACUUACAAGAAAUCUGCUUAUAAUAAAACAGGCACACACAUUCUCACACUCAUGCAAACAGGCAAACACACGCAUAUACACACAUGCGUGCACAUAAUGAUAUAGACAAAAAUGCACACUUCUCUCCACAAACACAAAUGCAUUAGGUUUCCGCCUUCAGCAUUAUUAUAUAUCCACAAAGGAAAUAUGUAUGGACUGGCAUAGACGCCUUGUGCAUUACUGACCAGUUGAGUGUCCGUACUGAUUGUCACUUGAGUAACUGGAUUUGAAUCCUCAACUACUGGUAUGUAUGAAUAUAUGCAUUAUAUUACCUGUUUCAUCAUGUUAGUCUCUGUGAAACGUAUGUAUAUGUUUUUAAUUCUAUACGUGAAAGUAUAUGCACAUAAAUGUAUAUAUGUGUAGGUAUAUAUAUGCAUAUAUGUUUAUUGAUAUGUGAACGUAUAUAUUUGUAUACAUACACAUAUCAAUAAAUAUAUGUAUAAGUAUUUAUAUUUAUAUGCACAGACAUAUAUAGACAUCCAUUCAUCCGUCCAUCCAUAUAUAUAUAUAUAAAUGUGUGAGUGUAUACAUAUAUAUAUGUAUAAUAUAUAUAUAUAUAUAUACAUAUAUAAAUAUAACAUAUAUAAUAUAUAUAUGUAUAUGCAUAUGUAUAUAUAUAUAUAUAUAUAUAUAUAUAUGCAUUUAUACAUAUAUAUAUAUAUAUAUAUAUAUAUAUAUAUAUGCAUAUGUAUGUAUAUAUAUAUAUAUAUACAUAUGAAGAGGUAGGUUAUUUUAUUCCAAACAUCAUUUUGUUAAUGUUUGUACACAUGUAUACGUUUGCACAAACACACACACACUCACGUAUAUACAUACAUACAUACAUACAUACAUACAUACAUACAUACAUAUAUAUAUAUAUAUAUAUGUAUAUAUAUGUGUACAUACGCAAUAUAUAUAUACAUACAGACAGACAGACAUAUAUACAUAUAUGUAUUUAUAUACACAUAUGCAUACAUGCUUUUCGUAUGUGUGUGUAUGUAGAUAAACGGUGCAAUGUUGUUGACUAGUUAAGUUACGUAAUAUAUGUAUAUAUAUAUAUAUAUAUAUAUAUAUAUAUAUAUAUAUAUAUAUAUAUAUAUAUAUAUAUAUGUAUUCACACACACUUGUCCGUCAUGUUACUGUUUUUACACACAGAUACAUUCAUUUUGAAAUUACGAUAUUGAAUUAGCAUCUCUUUGACAUCAUUCCUGAUUAAAAUAUCACUGACUUUUAUAAUUCCUGAAUUUCCACAUCUAUUUAAAUCAGUCGUACAAGCAGACACGUGCAACACCCCUCCCCUCAUACUCUCUCACCUUUCCUUUAAUCCCUCCCUUCCUCAACACACUAGCACUAAUAUAUCAAACAAUGGUGCUAAUGAUGUUGAUGAAGCUAAUGAUAAUAUUAUACGGAAGAAAAAGAUGACACUGAUUAUGAUGAAGAAGAUGAUGAUGAUGAUGAUGAUGAUAGUGGUGUUGGUGAUGGUGGUAAUCGUCGUCGUCCUUAUCGUCAUCAGUGCAUGGUGGUCAUGGCAUCCGAGUAUGGCUUUGAAUGUAAUUAUGUUGAAAUUAAUUACCGUCCUCAACGUUGUCGUCGUCGUCCUCCUCCUCCUCCUCGUCCUCCUCCUCCUCCUCGUCCUCCUUCUCCUCCGCCACUCCCCUUUCUCCUCUAUCAACAUCAUCAUCAUCAUCAUCAACGUCAUGAAUUUUCCAGUUUAAAAGCACAUACAUGCAUAUGUAUGCAUAUAUGUGCAUACAUAUGCCUGUAUAUAUAUAUAUAUGCAUGUAUGUAUGUAUGCAUCUCUCUCUCUCUCUCUCUCUCUAUAUAUAUAUAUAUAUAUAUAUAUAUAUAUAUAUAUACACACACUGAGAUACACUCAUGCACACGUACACACACACACAUAUAUAUAUGCAUGUCCGUUUGUGCAUAUGUGUAUACUUAUUUAAUGCAUACAUAUGUAUCAUGCAUAUCCAGCUUAUAUAUAAAUGCGUUUAUGUGCCUGUAUAUGUGUUUGUGUGUGUGACAGAGUGCUUGUGUGUGUGUGUGUGUGUGUGUCUACACGCACACAGUAUGUGUGUUUAACUGUAAUGACGAAACAUACGUUUCCUAACAUAUUGUUAAUUUUAAAAGCCACAUAUCCAUAAAAGUCGUCUAAUAUACUUUCCCUUUGAUUCUAUACACUUCUUUAUUGAUUACAACUGUUCAUAAAAUGUAGAAAAAAAAAUCAACAACAAAACCAAAUACUAUUUUAUGGUUGUAAACAUGAAUGGAUAAUCAUAUUGGUGCUUUAGAGAAUCUGUAGGAUGUCGGGCAAAUUCAUUACAGUGUCUAGUUAUUACUCUUUAAUGUAAUGAUUCAAAAUCCUGCCAAGGUCAACUUUUCCUUUCAUCCUUCAGUGGUCUAUUGAACGAAAUGCUAUUGAAGUUCUGUAGUAGAUCUCGUAUUAACAUAUAUCAUCAUAGAUGUUAGUGGAAUUAUAAUUGACGACAAUGAUGAUAUUGAUGGACUUAAAAUUAGUUGGAUCUUUCUCUGUUUUGACAUGUGCAUUAACAAAUUUUAAAUAGUUUUCAUAUGUGAAUGAGUUAAAAUCUAUCUUUUUUUACAUGUUAUGUCUCGUCUUUAAAGCGAUAUAUUAAAAUUGACAGCUUUUUGUUUGGACAAAAGUUAUGGUUUUUAAACAUAGAAACAUGUAUUUAUGUCUGUGUGGUUAAGAAGAUGGAUUUCCAAGCAUAUUGUUUCAGGUUCAGCCUCACUGUCCGCAGCACAUUAGGUAAAUGUCUUCUACCACAGCUUUGGGCCAACUAGUGCCCAGAGAAUGAAUUGGAAAACAGAAACUUCAAAAGCACAUCAUGUUUGCAUGCGUAUGUGUGAAUUUGUAUGUGUGUUUGUGUGUGCAUAUGUGUAUGCGUAUGUUUGUUUGUUUGUUUGUGUGUGUGUGUGUGUGAGUGUGUAUUAUUGUAUAUUUGUGUUUGGUUUUUGGUUUGUUUACCGGCUUUUGGUUUGUUUACCGAUUUUUGGUUUGUUUACCUACCUGAAACUUAGCGGCAUGACAAAAAUAGACUAUAUUGUAUUUACCAGAUUUAAAAUAUGCUUUCGUGUCGAUUUCAUUGGAUAAGUGCUUCAGAUCAGUAACAAAUGAAAGAAUAUGCACAAGGGUUUUAGUGUAGAGAGUAUAGAUGACGCCAUUACAUGACUGGUAUAUAUUUUAUCGACUGUAGAAAUGAUGUAGGGUCAAGGUGAUCUCGGUAAUAUUUGAACUCAGGACAUAGAGUGGCGUGACUAAAUAGGGCAAAAUAUUUUGCUGGUAUUGUAACCUAAUCUUUCUUUAUUGCCCACAAGGGGCUAAACACAGAGGGAACAAACAAGAACAGACAAAGGGAUUAAGCCGAUUACAUCGACCCCAGUGCGUAACUGAUACUUUAUUUUAUCGACCCCGAAAGGAUGAAAGGCAAAAUCGACCUCGGCGGAAUUUGAACUCAGAAGGUAACAUUUCUGCCAACUCGCAGAAUUGUAAUCUUUCUGCCAACCCUGUCAUUCACUGCCCGUUACCUGACGUAAAAUAAUAUAGAUAUUUGCUAAAUUACUCUCCAGACAAGAUAUAUGUUUCAGAAAUAGUGUUUAGUCGUUGAAGCCGUCCCCUGUACAUUGCUUUUGGUCACUAUUUCACUGACAACUCUGUAAGAUAAAAAGAAAACCUUAAAAGUACGUAACUAAGUGCUACAAACACAAGCAUUUUAUCAGCAACUCAAUGGGAUCCAAAAAUUGUGUGGCAAACCGAAUCCGUCGUCGAGUUUAACAUCAUAAUUAAAUCUUUGCAGCUUUUUAGACAUCAUUCCGAUGCAAGGAUUUGGGUUAGGUCUCUCGUUUAGGGAUAACUUCCUUCCUUCUGCAGACCACAUUCGUGAAGCACCGAAGACAUAAAUUAUUACGCCAUAUUCAUUUUGAAUAAUCAUUAAAGAAGAAAAAUCUUUUUUAACACACAUACUAAAAUUAUAUGAGAUAAAUGUCUACAUUUUUGAUUGAUCUGCUAUAACUAACAGUCAAAUUUCCUUCAAAAUAUAUAACAUACGCUUGAAUAUAACACAUCUGAAAAUUAUUCCGAGGUAGAUUAUGACUGAAAAUGGCACGAUUUAUUACAAGAACACAUUUAGUGAUUAGUCAACGCUAAUUAAUAACACCAACGACGUCAGCACCACCACCUACACUACUACUACUACUACUACUACUACUACUACUACUACUACUACUACUACUACUACUACUACUACUACACUAUUUGGAGACAAAAGAAUGUUUAAUUUAUUGCUCGAAUACAUUUCAACGUAAAAGAACAUAAGAGAACGCGGUUAAAUAUUCUUAAGAUUGUCUCAAAUGGCUUACCAUCUCAAGUUUUACCUUAAUACGGUUUUUGUCAUAUAUAUAUAUAUAUAUAUAUAUAUAUAUAUAUAUAUAUAUAUAUAUAUGUAUGUGUGUGUGUGUGUGUGUGUGUGUGUGUGUGUGUGUGUGUGUGUGUGUGUGUGUGUGUGUGUGUGUGUAUGUGUGUUUGUGUGUGUGUGUAUGUAUGAAAGUGCAUGGUUCAUUCAUGAGGCAAUGAGUACGAUUCCCAUCCCGGGCUGUGUAUUGUGUUCUUGAGCAAGGUACUUUACAAAUUUUGGGACAAGCCAGCAAUUUCUAGCGUAAUGAAGAUUAGUCGGUGACAUCGACCGUAGUACCUGUAUCCUACUUUAUUUCAGCGAGUCGGAAUGGAUGAAGGGCAGAUUUGACUUCGAUGGAUUUGAACUCUGAACUUAACGAAGUCGAAGAAAUGCCGUGCCAUUACGAAACAUUGAUUGUGCUUCUACAAGUCGUUAGAUCCACUAGAAAAAGCAGGAACAACUCUUUGUCUAUUGUGUUAACAAUUAAUGAAUAUACUGAUGAGGUAACUUUGAAUGUAAAACGGUAGAAAAUUGGCGGCUCAAACUUUGAAAAUUUGACACACAGAAUCUCGUCGAACACAAUGAGAAACGAAAACAUAAACACAAAACCAAGGAAAUGGACAUUUUUCUUAAACAACGAAAAAAUAGAGUACAGGACAUACAAUACAAGGAAAAUUCCCCUUCUUCAUUCGCCUUUGUUUCAUCUACUCACAUGUAUACAUGUCAUUUGACUGCGACCAUGCUGGAGCACCGCCUUUAGUCUGCCAAAUCGACCCCAGAGCUUAUUUUUUGUAACCCUAGUACUUAUUCUAUCGGUCGCUUAGUACUUAUUCUAUCGGUUGUUAAGCGAUAAUGGGGGGACAGACACACAUAUACACACACAUACCUAUACAUAUAUAUACAUAUAAGGCAGGCUUCUUCCAGUUUCCGUCUACCAAGUGCACUCACAAGACUUUGGUCGGCCCAAAGCUAUAGUAGAAGACACUUGCCCAAGGUGCCACGCUGUAGAACUGAACCCGGGACCAUGUGGUUUGAAAGCAAGCUACUUACCACACAACCACUCCUGCACCUAUAUAUAUAUACAUAUAUACAUAUAUAUAUAUAUAUAUGUAAUAUUGUUGUGUCUGGGGCGAGUCAUUCUCUUUUAAUGCCGUAUUAAUUAUCACACAGGUAAAGUUUCCACUCAUUUUAGUUUCCUAAAAUGUUCGUUGCCUUUUGCAACCUUUUCAAUAGUCGUUGGCUAUUGACUAUCGAAAAAAUAUUGAAAAGGUUGCAAGACGCAACGAAAAUUUUUGCAAAAAUAAAUAAGUAAAGGAGGGGAAAACUUUACCGGUGAGAUUUUUUAACUAAUAAGGCACUAAAAGAAAAUGACUCUCCCCAGACACAACAAAAUAAGCUUUAGCACGCAAACUCACAUAAAGAAUCUUGCAAACCAAAUCCCAAAACGAAAUGUACAUACAUACAUACAUACAUACAUACAUACAUACAUACAUACAUACAUACAUACAUACAAACAUACAUACAUAUGUAUAUAUAUAUAUAUAUAUAUAUAUAUAUAUAUAUGCUUUUAUUCUUAUGGGCAUCCUGAGGAAUGACUUAGAUAGAGACACUUAUGUCAGUCAUUUAGCACCGCCUUUUAGUUAAACAAAUCGACUCCAAGACUUAUUCUUCGUAACCCUAGUACUUAUUCUAUCGGUCUCAUUUUGGUGAACCCCCAAGCUACAUGACCGUAAACACACCAAAAUCACUUGUCAAGAGAUGGUGGGGGGCACAAACACAAACACACAAAUGCAUGCAUACAUACAUACACACACACACACACACACACACACACACACACACAUAUAUAUAUAUAUAUAUAUAUAUAUAUAUAUAUAUAUAGAGAGAGAGAGAGAGAGAGAGAGAGACAUAGAUAUGUUUCUUUAAUGGCCACAUUGGGCUGAACACAAAGGGGACAAAAUACAAGGUAGAGCUUUUCUUGUUGGGAAGAGAAGGAAAAAAAGAAAAAAGGAAAGGUGGGUAGACAUUUGAUCAAAAAGGAUCGUUAGAAGUAAAAAAAAAAGCCGAUUAAUAGGGAUCGUGUAUCACAGAAAUGUCAUGAUGUAAAAAGGGGAAACAGAUUAGGUUUAUCCCUGGAAAGAAAAGCCUACAGAAAUUACCACGGUAACCCCUAGCAAUAAUGUCAUGCAAAAAAAAAACGCAUUACAGUAAGUGACGCUCUUUUUUCCUUUCUUUUGUUUUUGGUCCAUAGGAUUAUGCUCAAGGUGGCUUCGUCAAUCACACGUGACAUUCUUGCUAGAUUCACCAUUCUUUUUUUGAAAUAUUCACUAGAUAAAACUUCCCUCUCAACUCUCGCCUUCCUCUUCAAGUGAUACUUGAAGAAGUUGAUGAGAGAUUCACCAGAGAGGAAAGUGUUUGUCUCUAGACCUUUAAGAUAGAGAGAUAGAUAUAUGACGGGCUCCUUUCAGUUUCCGUGUACCAAAUCCACUCACAAAGCUUUGGUCGGCUCGAUCGUAUAGUAAAAGUCACUUGCCCAAGAUGCCACGCAGUGGAACUGAACCCAGAAUCAUGUGGUUGGGAAGCAAGCUUCUUACAUCAUAUAUAUAUAUAUAUAUAUAUAUAUAUAUAUAUAUAUAUAUAUAUAUAUAUAUAUAUAUAUAUGUAUGUAUGUAUGUAUGCAUUAUGUAUAUAUGUAUUUGAGAACUUCAUUGCUUGGAAACAAUUGUAGUGAUUGAAAAUAAAUGUCCAACUGUACUCCUACUUGUUGACUCCAAAAUUUUCCCUAUAAUCUAUUUACACACGACAGAAGCCCAUACACAAACCUGGAAAUACGUAUAAUCCUACUACUGCCUCAUAUCUUAGAAAAGAGCGGACUCCUCUGAAGUCAAAUGGGAUUCAAGUAGCGGUUGAGGUGAACAAAGUUUCUUUGCACUC
rnacentral:lncRNA from 1 species